rnacentral:rRNA from 1 species
CGCGUAGGCGGUUUUGUAAGUCGGAUGUGAAAGCCCCGGGCUUAACCUGGGAAUUGCAUUCGAUACUGCUUGACUAGAGUAUGGUAGAGGGAAGUGGAAUUCCAGGUGUAGCGGUGAAAUGCGUAGAUAUCUGGAGGAACAUCAGUGGCGAAGGCGACUUCCUGGACCAAUACUGACGCUGAGGUGCGAAAGCGUGGGGAGCAAACA